CUUUCUUCUCGGACGCCUUGGCUGUUUAAAAGACCGUCUUUGCCGUCUUGUACUUGUUUGUGCGUUUUAAUCAGCUAUUGGAAAAUAACAGGUAUCCUUCUACGACCCCUUCUGGAUCCCAGAAACAUUCAGGAGGACACGGACAGCAAAAAUAAACCCCAUCUGGCUUGGAGUCAGGGGAGCUACUUUCCUGACCGAAGCGGAAGAAGCAGUCCACUGUUGGCCACAGCCGCCGAGCUGCACCGAAACGUGUCCGUGGAGAGAGUCACCGCAGUGGGCUGAGUGUUUAUGUGAGCCAGGCGUCUUUAAUGGGACUGCUCUCAGCCCGCUGAGCCUUGAUUUACGCCUGGAUUCAGACCCAUAAAAGACCGAUCUUUGGAUAUGGAAUGGUGCAUACUGCUGGGCCAAGUUUUCAGCCUCUGAAAAACACCGGAAUCAUGGACAGUCAUCCGCUGUGUACUAGGCUUUGUCCACACUCACUGGACAAAGAGGAUGGAGUGGAGAGGCAGGGUCCCGUCACUUUGAACCCGCGGCACAUGAAGAAGGCGUUUAAGGUCAUGAACGAGCUGCGCAGCCAGAGCCUGUUGUGCGAUGUGACUAUAGUUGCAGAGGAUGUAGAGAUCGCUGCUCACAGGGUGGUUCUGGCUGCUGGGAGCCCUUAUUUCCACGCUAUGUUUACAGGAGAGAUGACGGAGAGCAGAGCGAAACGAGUGAGAAUAAAGGAGAUGGGCGGCUGGACCCUGGGCCUCCUGGUGGACUACAUCUACACAGCAGAGAUACAGGUCACAGAGGAUAACGUUCAGGCUCUGCUGCCUGCAGCAGGACUGCUUCAGCUCAACGAGGUGAAAAAGGCCUGCUGCGAGUUCCUCAGCUCCCAGCUCCAUCCGUCCAAUUGUCUGGGGAUAAGAGCCUUCGCCGACCUACAUGCUUGCUCCCAGCUUCUCUCACUGGCUAACAGCUAUGCAGAGCAACAUUUCACUGAGGUCGUUGGGAGUGAGGAGUUUCUGAACUUGGGAAUGGAGCAGGUGUCCAGCCUGAUUGCCAGCGACAAGCUCACCAUCCCCUCAGAGGAGAAGGUAUUUGAAGCAGUUAUCGCUUGGGUCAACCAUGACAAAGACGUCCGCCAGGAACACUUGGCCCACCUAAUGGAACACGUUCGCCUGCCGCUGCUCUCCAGAGAAUACCUGGUGCAGCGUGUAGAGGAGGAGUACCUGAUAAAGAACAGCAGUGCAUGUAAAGACUACCUGAUCGAAGCUAUGAAGUACCACCUGUUGCCAGCUGACCAGCGAGCCUUGAUGAAGACCGCUCGUACCCGAAUGAGAACUCCGGUCUCCUUCCCUAAGGUGAUGGUGGUGGUUGGAGGUCAGGCGCCUAAGGCUAUCCGUAGCGUUGAGUGUUUCGACUUUGAGGAGCAGCGAUGGUACCAAGUGGCUGAACUUCCUACGAGAAGAUGCAGAGCAGGUGUGGUGUACAUGGGUGGGUGUGUUUACGCUGUUGGUGGUUUCAACGGCUCUUUGCGUGUGCGGACGGUUGACUGUUUCGAACCGGUCAUGGAUCGCUGGACGAGCGUGAGCAGCAUGCAGGACCGGAGAUCAACGCUCGGCGCCGCUGUUCUCAAUGGACUCCUGUAUGCCGUAGGAGGCUUUGAUGGCAGCACAGGUCUUUCCACAGUAGAGGCGUACAACACCAAGACAGACGAGUGGUUCCAUGUGUUGCCCAUGAGCACCCGACGCAGCAGCGUAGGAGUCGGUGUUGUCAAUGGGAUCCUGUAUGCGGUGGGAGGUUAUGAUGGCGCCACCAGGCAGUGCCUGAGUACAGUGGAAGCUUACAAUCCUAAAAGCAACACAUGGAGCUAUAUAGCAGAGAUGGGCACAAGACGCAGUGGAGCAGGUGUGGGUGUGUUAAAAGGUUUACUGUACGCUGUGGGCGGGCAUGACGGUCCGUUGGUGAGAAAGAGCUGUGAAGUUUAUGAUCCAACCACCAACAGCUGGCGGCAGGUAGCUGACAUGAACAUGUGUCGACGCAACGCAGGUGUGUGUGCUGUAAACAACCUGCUGUAUGUGGUCGGAGGAGAUGACGGGAGCUGCAAUCUGGCCUCGGUGGAGUUCUACAAUCCAACCACUGAUAAGUGGACGCUACUGCCAACCUGCAUGAGUACAGGCCGCAGUUAUGCAGGUCAAGAAGUUACAUUUUGCUCCCAUCUGACCGGAGGUACUUCUUCCACAUGUUAGCUGUGUCCUCAGCAUGAUUUUCCCACCUAAGCUGUGGAUCUCUUCAGCUCUCUGUAGUGUCGACCUGCUGGAAGCCGAUCCUCGGUUCCAGUAUCAAGUCUUUUUCGACAUCUAGCAGGUGUGACGGUGAUUGACAAGCCCUUAUGACUGCUCUUGAUUCCUGCCACUGAUUAAAAGCGGAAAGUGUUCUGCUGAAUACUGAUCUUGGAUCUGUCUUCAAUGCCGAUGCACAGUUGGGCAGCAUUAGCACAUGCACAGACGAAGAUGUUAAAGCUGAGGAUGAUGAAGGUUCUUGCCCUUACCUUAAAUGGGGGGGAUGCGCUGCGACAGACGAGAGCGUCAAACCUGUGUUUUAUUUCGCUCGCGGCAGGACUGCAGCAGCAACGGGAUGGCCCGGUUUGAAGCACCACUGGAUCGCUGCAGUGCCAUUGAAAUGCUACUGAUAUGAAGCUGCUAUAACUGCAAAGUUAGUUUAACAUUAGUUAAUUUUAACACGAACCAGAUAUGAGAGAGACCACUUGUCUGAUCGAUGGGACAGCAGAGGAGAAAAGGACCGUUUUGGUCCAAAGUCUGUUUAUUAUUUUGUUUUAUUAUCUGAUGAGUGAGCUGGUGUGCUUGCAUAUUAAGGUGCUCCAUUGCUUGCACAUGUAAGCAUGUUUUUAUUGGCAUCAGAGAGUCUGUGUGUGGUAAGGCCUUGUUCGACGCCGCAUGAACACACUCUGUCUGACUUCUUACCCAUUACAGUGUUGCAGCGAGGCCUGAUGAGUGCCUGAAUGUCAGAGUCCACCCUCAAUUGUUUUAGCCUUGGUACCAAAAUAGAACAGAGCUGGACUCAGCCGCUAUUCUGAGAUAAAGAAACAAAUCUUCAGAAAGUUGUAUUAGCUUGUGGUGAUUCAGAAUAACAGAAUGUUAAAAAGCACUUGAUUAUGUAUGUUUUUUUUGUGGAGAUAAGAGACUUUAAUUUUGGCGGGGAGAGUUCAUCAGUCAUGUUGCCAAACACAGGGACAGAGAGAGAAGCUGUUAGUUAAACGGUUGGAUAUAUAUGUGUUAUCUUGUUAACUGGCAGCCAUAUUUGCUGUGGUUGUAAACACUAAUUAAAGCAGCAGCAACCUGAACUCAAUGCAUGGACUGUGUCUCUAACCUGUUAGCCAGUUUCCUCCCUUCUUUUGGUGUAACAACCUGUUUAUAACUACUGUACACCCUGACGUAAUAUGAAUGUGCCAAUUUUAAUGUCUCCUCUUUUCAGUCUUUUUAUCGCUCUGUGUUUCAAAUCUCUUCUCUCUUUCUGGAAAGCGACCAAACCUCUUGAGUUCCACUUUCUUCAGUCUCUUUCUGCUAUAUUCAGUCCCACUGAAAAGUAAAAUUGAUAUCGCUGUUUCUCGUCAGUGCAUUGAUGAAUGUCAUGUAGGCUUAUAACUCUGAAAAUGUUUUAUUACAUGUUUUAUAUUAUCAUUAAUAAAUAUGCUUCUUGUAUUUAAAGCUGUGAAAUUAUAUCAUCUGUUUUUAAAACUUUGCAAAAUCAGUAAAACAUUUAAAUUAAA